AAAGAAGCAAUGAAUAAUAUUCUUCUCUUAAUUUCCAAUGGCUUCCGACACUAAGAGGAAGAGAAGGCCUAAACCCUCCUCUUCCUCCUAUGCUCUGUUUCCUGCGGAACCAUCCUUCAAUGCUCUACCAUCCUCUAGAGCCGACUUCACCCGCUUGAUAACCGUUGUUUCCAUCGCCGCUGCUGUGGCAGUGGUUUGUAACUUCAUGGCCACCUAUCUCAAUCAGCCGCCUACACCCUUCUGCAACUCUACUAGUUCUGACCUCGAUGAUUCCCUCCCCGACUACUGUGAACCCUGUCCCACAAAUGGCAUAUGUUAUGAUGGGAAGUUGGAAUGUGAUCAUGGCUAUCAAAAGCAUGGGAGGUUAUGCCUUGAGGAUGGGGAUGUUAAUAUAGCAUCUAAAAAGCUUUCAAAAUGGGUAGAAGUUCGCCUAUGUGAAGCAUAUGCUCAACUUCUGUGCACUGGAACUGGAAAAAGCUGGGUUUCAGAGGAUGAGCUGAGAAAUUACUUGGAUGAAUACAAGAUGAGGGAUAAUCAUGCCCUUGAUGAGGCCAUUUACAUGCCUGCAAAGCAAAGAGCUAUAGAGACCAUUAGUAAUUUAUUGGACAGAAGAAGAGAUAAUCAGGGUGUUGAAGAAUUCAAGUGCACAGAGUUGCUUGUGAACCAUUAUAAACCACUAUCCUGUGCUGCCCGACAGUGGAUCGUCGAGCAUGCUUCACUUUUAUUGCCAGCUUGUGUAUUGUUUAUGGGGUGCAUAUUGAUAGCAUCCAGGGCCUAUCGAAGACAUCAUUUGUCUGUCAGAGCUGAGCAGAUUUACCAUGAGGUUUGUGAUAUACUUGAAGAGAAGCCACUGGUAUCUAGGAGUGAAGGUGAGGGCGAAACCUGGGUGGUUGCCCCCUGGUUGCGAGAUCAUCUUCUCUCACCCAAGGAAAGAAAGGAUCCGUUUCUGUGGAGAAAGGUCGAGGAAUUGGUUCAAGAAGAUUCUCGCAUAGAUCAGUACCCGAAGUUAGUAAAGGGUGAAUCUAAAGUGGUGUGGGAGUGGCAAGGGCAUUCUUUUAGCAAUUGUGCAGCACCCAUCUGUGUUUUACCACCAUUAAACUUCCCAAUCAAUGCCACUUGAAGGUUCUCUAAGCUCUGCUGGAAAGAGAAAGAAAAGUGAUGGAAGUGCACAAAAGUUGAAGGAGCCCUUGAAUUCAUCUUAUAACUUCCAAAGCAAGAUGCUUGCUGCCUGAAGAUGGUGCUGUUAACUUUUUCCAAGACGGCUAUUUAGGUAUAGUUGAAGCUCUUUUUAGUAUAAAUAGUAUUGUGGUGUAUGAUUUCUGUAUUUCGUCAAGAAUUGUGCUAAGCCAGCAGAUUGCUGUUGCAUUUUACUGUCUACUGGUUCAGUACAUUUUGGCGCUCAACCGUAUUAGGUUUAGCAUGCUGCUUCAGCUGCAUGUUCUUUCAUUCAAAUCCUUGUUUCCA